UACGUAGGGUGCGAGCGUUGCCCGGAUUUAUUGGGCGUAAAGGGCGCGUAGGCGGCCACGCACGUCCGUUGUGAAAUCGCCCGGCUCAACUGGGCGGGGUCGGCGGAUACGGCGUGGCUGGAGCAAGCUAGGGGGCAAUGGAAUUCCCGGUGUAGUGGUGGAAUGCGUAGAUAUCGGGAGGAACACCAGUGGCGAAGGCGGCUCUCUGGGACGGUACUGACGCUGAGACGCGAAAGCGUGGGGAGCGAACAGG
rnacentral:rRNA from 1 species